UUCUGGCUCAGGAUGAACGCUAGCGGCAGGCUAACACAUGCAAGUCGAGGGGCAGCGCGGGUAGCAAUACCUGGCGGCGACCGGCGAAAGGGUGAGUAACGCGUGAGCAACAUGCCCUUGAGCGGGGGAUAGUCGAUGGAAACGUCGCGUAAUACCCCGUAACAUUGGAGAUCGCAUGGUUUCCAAUUGAAAGAUUUAUCGCUCAAGGAUUGGCUCGCGUACCAUUAGCUAGUUGGCGGGGUAACGGCCCACCAAGGCGACGAUGGUUAGGGGUUCUGAGAGGAAGGUCCCCCACAUUGGAACUGAGACACGGUCCAGACUCCUACGGGAGGCAGCAGUGAGGAAUAUUGGUCAAUGGCCGAGAGGCUGAACCAGCCAUGCCGCGUGCGGGAUGACGGCCCUAUGGGUUGUAAACCGCUUUUUUGAGGGAGCAAUAAGGCCCACGUGUGGGUUGAUGAGAGUACCUUGAGAAUAAGCAUCGGCUAACUCCGUGCCAGCCGCAGC
rnacentral:rRNA from 1 species